UGGGAUGAGCGGCAGUAGAGAACGGGCGAAGGGCGGGCGUGGAGACCCUCGAGCUUGGGGGAGGCCGCGCCCCAGCCGGGAAGGGAAAGAGUGUUUAGUCGAAAGCCGAGAGGCAGCUGUCCCAAGUGGAGGAGGAGGUGAUAGGUGGUCAUGUUAUUUGGGGAAUGGGGGAAACUCAGGAAGUAUAGGACGAGUGGGGAAGCCCAGUUUCGAGGAAGGAAGUUAGGAGGUCUGGGGGUCCGUUCAGAUAGGCGCCCGGAGGUCAAGCCAUCUUUGGGAACCUUGACCGCUAGAAUAAGCACAGCAUCCUUCCUUGAGGCCUGCAGAGUAGGCUGCAUGUGGAGCGUAAUGGGACCUUAAGGUGGUGUUGGGAAGUUGUCGAAAGACUGCGCUCGGAAGACAUGUCUAUUUCAAGUCAUAUUGAGACAGUAGCCAGUGGAGGAAGUACGGUGACCUAGAAAUUCUGGGGCUUACACAGGAUUAAAGGUGUCCAGGUCUAGACGCGCUUCCAUUUUAGUUGGGACUGUUAAAGGGAAAUGGUUGCCCAUUCUUGUUCUGGCAAAUGUGGCCAACAGAGGCCGGAACGGGAGCAAGGCAAGAGGGGGUCGGUUACCUAAUACGCUUUGAGGUGUAUGGUCCUAUGAGAAAGAGGUAAGGCGAGUUCAACGAACGAGUCUGUUGCAUACUCUGUGGCGUGGUAGAUUUGUGAAAUAGAGUAAAGGGAGAUGACAGGGCAGAAUGGUGAAAGCCGAGAGAGGAAUUCAGGCACCGAUUUACUGGGCCACGUGUGGAAGUUGCAGAGGGCAUCACGUCUGUCUUAGGCCUUCGUGUUUUACGUUUACAUUCUGUAUUGCCAUUCCCAUGGUUCUCCCAUUAUAUCUUUCAUAGUUUUAUGUAUUUUUUAAAUAUUUUACAUUUGAACAAAUUGAGACUAUGGAGGGUAUGCAGAGUUAGAAACAGCACCUCACCUAUUUUUAUUUCCACCGAAUUAAGCUCUUCACCUUUUCAGUACAAUUCAGUAAGCCAGUACGAAGGCCCUACUAUGUGAAAUUUGCACUCUGGUGUUUGGAGGGCAGUGCAAGGUAUACACAUAGAGUCAAUCUUGGACAGUAGUAUAGGAGACAGAUUCAUAAAUAAUUAGAAUUUUGCAUAGACUGAUAGGUGUUAGAGGUUUUAACUGACUGUUAAUGAGGUUUGGAGGGUAGGAGACAUUUCAUUGGAGGGCUUUAGGAAAGUUGUUGGAGGAAAUGGGGUUUGAAUUCAAACUAACAGGAGUUUUGUUGGUAACAAACUCUAAUCUCUAGAUUAGAGAUGUGACAGGUCACAGUGCAUGCAUUAUGAGGCCUGGAUAGGCCUUCACGUUUUGCCUGCUGAUUAACAAGAUGCAAGAUACAUAUGAAACCUGGAAAAGGCACAACUUUGUCAAUGUGAAUACUACCAUAAGUUAGGAGAGGAGAAAAUAGAACUGAUUUGGAACAUAAAUAAUUUAAAAAUUUGUGGAGACUAUCAAGAAUUACCAAUUAUCAAGGUAAUGUUAUGGUGAAAAUAGAGAACCUUGCUCCAAGGUAAGGAAAGAAGGUGAUCUUGAAAGAAACACAUUCAGCACAAACCCAUGUGGAUGAAGCACAUUGUGAAAAUUUCAAAGCCCUAUUUGGGACAUCUAGAAUUUCAGAUAAACUUGGGUUGAGGGAGACAGGUUCUCCAAGAACCCAUCCGAAGUGCGUUAUAAACACUCAAAUGACUCAUCUGAAGGAAUACAGAUUCUGGCGAAUGCUUAUACAUUACCGUGAAGAAUGCUCAGUAGACUUAAGACUUACCCCCUCAUUUUCAUUGGAGUUAAGGAAGUGGGGAGUAAAUAAGUAAACCUAGUGUUAGCUUUGAGGAGUGGAGAAUGGGAAGAUUGUAUGGCUGAAUGUUAAUUGGGUGAGAAAGUAUUCUUAUCUACCAGAUAUUGAAGAUGUAUUCGAGAAGUUUAACCAACAUUUACAAAAUUGUGACUUUAAAGCUUUUCUGACUGCAACCCACAGUAAGAAAUACAUUUUAGAUUACAUUACACAUAUAAAACUGUUCUGUUUUUCUUUAAUGUUCGUGACCCACUAAAUUCAUUUCACAUUUGACUGUGAGGCAUGACCCACAGUUAGAAAAACGGCAGCUUUACAGGGCAAAGAAGUACAAGCUGCCGUUUGGUACUCAUUCGAUAACCUUUAACUGUGCUAAGGAUUGAAGAAAAGCAAGAUACUGCUUACAAAUUGAAGGCCGUAAAAAGGAAUACAAUAUGGGCAUAUAUCUCUGUGACAGGGAUACAAAUGUAAAAGCUCAGUUUCUCCCCAGGGAGCUUUUUGUUGCCGUCGUGGAAAAAGAUAUACUUAAAAAAUUAAUGCUACAACUGGAUGUGGACCCAGGUGGGCAUGAAAGGCCUUGUCACAGAAGCUGACUUUGAAAGUGGGUAGGAGUGCCCAGGAAUUCGAGAACGACCUGGGCAAUAUAGUGAGACCUCAUCUCUACAAAAAAUUUUAAAAAUUAGCCCAGUGUGAUGGUGUGCAUCUGUAGUCCCAGCUAUUCUGGAGGCUGAGGUUGGAGGAUUGCUUGAGCCAGGAGGUGGAAGCUGCAGUGAGCCAAUUCGAGGCCCUGUCUAAAAAAAGGGGGGAAGGGAGGGCAGUAAGAGCAAGAUAAUGUGAGAGGCCUGAGAAACAACAAAGGCCCAGGAUUGAAAGAAGACAACUCUGUCAGCCUGGCAGAAAUGGGAAACUCUAAACUUGAGUAAGGCAUUUCACCUUGCUCUGUUCAGUGUAUCUUGUUUACAAAUUGAAAAUCUUAGUUGAGUUAAAACACUGCAGGAUUCUUCAAAGUGUUAUCCCUGGCUGCUUGCAAUGAGAGUCACUUUGAAUGCUUGCGGAAAUGCUUGGGCCAGGCGCAGUGGCUCAUGCCUGUAAUCCCAGCGCUUUGGGAGGCACUGGUGGGAGGAUCGCUUGAUCCCAGGAGUUUGACGCUGUGAUGAGCUAUGAUCAGGUGACUGCACUCCAGCCUGGGCAACACAGCAAGACUUUGUCUCUUAAAAGAAAAAAAAAAAAGCUUGUAGAUUCCUGAUCUCUGAUCUUUUCGUUCCAUUAUUUUUAUCUUUCUCUUAAAUCAUUCCAAAUUUUGUGGCUCCUGUUUUCAAAUUUUUCAUUUGUAGAGUAAAUAGUGGCUAAAUCUGUAUUUACCUCAACCUGUUUAUAAGCAAUUUCUGAAAUUAUUUUAUCAAUUUGUUUUUUUAUCCUCUAAUAAAACCAUGCCAUAGAUCUUUUAGGGUAUGAAUUACAGUUUGUUCCCUAAUUAAAAGUGUGGGGGGGGCACUUUUUACUGGGCCCAGUUCUUGGCAUUUUUUCUUCCCCCCCCACCCCUGUUCCUGGCAUUUUUGGAAAUCAUUAUCUUAUAUGUAUUUUUCAUGACAUCUACCUCAAAGUCUGUAUUAAAUGGGCACUCAAUAAGUAUUUUUUCACUUGAUUUUUAAUCUGAGUAAUGACUCAGAUUGAAGUGAAGUCUGCAAAAACUGGUGUGUAACAAUUGGCCUUGAAUUUCAACUGGAAGCACAUAAUCAGGAUUAAUAUCAAAGAAAAUUGUCUCUUUUUUUUUUUUU